AAGGAAAGGCGGCCCUGGAGCGCCUAGCGGAGAGCAAAGAAAGGUCGAUGAUGGAAAUCGACCGCGUGGUGGUGCUAAUACCCUCAGGAUGCGAGGCUGUCGAGGCUGUCUCCUACCAGACAGAAACCGAGGUCCAAGGAAGAGGAGGGGAGAGUUUCGGAGCCAAAUGGUUAUCCUCCAACUAGACUUUACACCCGCCCCCACCAGCUGCCCCAGUCUUAACGGACUUUGAUGUGUCUGAGCUUUAAGAAUCCUCAUUCUACUUUGUAACAAACCCUAGCAACUUCCUCAUGUAAGACCAAGUGCCAGUGAGCAAGGAGCAGCUGCUGCAGCCAUCACCAACAGAGGAGCAUCUUCAUCCAUUAACCCUCAGCGUGCCUACUAGCAACUUCCUCAUGUAAGACCAAGUGCCAGUGAGCAAGGAGCAGCUGCUGCAGCCAUCACCAACAGAGGAGCAUCUUCAUCCAUUAACCCUCAGCGUGCCUACUGUGUGACUGUGCCUGAUACAGAGAUGGCAUCGAUCCUUAGGACUUGGAAAAGGCUGAAAAUGAAGGAAACGAAGUACAUGAAAGAGCCGAGGCUGGCAGGUAAGGAAUCUGAGUCUCUUGAAGCUCCUUGGUCUCCAUGAGUCCUUAGAGAUGCUAAGCAAGGCAUAACUCAUCUUUGACAGUCCAGGAAGGUCCUGCUUCUCUCAUGAUUAAGAGAACCAUCUACUUCAGUGUGUCUACACUAUCGAUGGAACAUCCAGUGUAUAUGGUCCUUAUAGUCCACCCAAGAAUAAUGGACUACCGGGUAGACCCACAUUCAAACUUGCAGGGUUGAACCAAGGUCAGAGAGAAGCCCUCAGAAGCUAGACCCAACUGAUCUUUUAGGGUCUGGAUGCUGUCUGCUGGUUCCUGUGUAAAGGCCCUGCCUCUUCCAACCCAUCAAUGCCUCUGAAGUAACUCUGUAAGAAAUCAGUGAUGAUAGCUGGGCGUAGUGGUAAUCCCAGCACUCGGGAGGCAGAAGCAGGCAGAUUUCUGAGUUCGAGGCCAGCCUGGUCUACAAAGUGAGUUGCAGGACAGCCAGAGCUAUACAGAGAAACCCUGUCUCGAACCCCCCCCCCAAAAAAAGAAAUCAGUGAUGAAGGGAUAAAAGCUCUGUUUUGCCUCGAAAUGGCUGGAGCAAAGUUUUAUUGGUCUGAGAGGUUGGUGUUCUUAAGCCCUGAGUGACUCAGUAUCCUGGGGUGCAGGAGAACCUCCCAUCACACAAGGUCUGAGAAUCCGUUUUCGUAGCUGUGACGUAGGAAGGUGGAGGGUCUGGUGAAGCUAGAUCCAUGUACUGCUUUUUGUGAAAAAUUAAAAAAAAAAAAAGCUUUGGAAUGUGAGAUAAAGUCAGAACGUCUGUUUCUGAAACUACUGUGCUCCAGGGUGUGAUAGGGGAUGGCUGCUUUCUGGAAUUCCAUGGGCGGAAAAUUUUAUAGAUCUUUUUUGCUUCCCUUUUCCACAACUUCCCAUACCCCCUGUGUCACCAACUCCCCUUGUCUUCUGUGUAGAGCCUCCACCUGCAGCCGGGAUGCUAGGACUUAACUCUCCAAACUCCUUUAGUGUCACACAAUGACAACAUAUGCAACUCUUGCUACUAAUAGCCCUUUAAAGAAUAGAAUUCUAGCCAGGUGGUGGUAGUUCACGCCUUUAAUCCCAGCACUUGGGAGGCAGAGGCAAGCAGAUUUCUGAGUUCGAGGCCAGCCUAGUCUACAAAGUGAGUUCCAGGACAGCCAGGGCUACACAGAGAAACCCUGUCUAGAAAAAACAAAAACAAACAAAAAAAAAAAAAGAAGAAGAGAGAAAAAGAAAUAGAAUUCCGGUUGGAGAGAUGGUUCAGCGUUAAGACUGCUCUUCUGAAGGUCCUGAGUUCACAUCCCAGCAGCCACAUGGUGGCUCAAAACCAUCUGUAAUGAGAUCUAAUACCCUCUUCUGGGGUGUCUGAAGACAGCUACAGUGUACAGUGUACUCAGAUAUAAUAAAUAAAUAAAUCUGUG
rnacentral:lncRNA from 1 species